CCCCAUAGCGUCUGUUUGGCAAACCUAGAGACUGAAUGGUGAAAACGUCCUAGAACCACUGUUGGAUUUCCUCCAGAGUGAAACCUAACCUUCUUAGGCUCAUGUUUCAUUCUCUUUCGUUCCAGGAGCGCCUCAACAGCUUGGAUUCAUUUCCCAGGAACCAGUCAUCUGGGCCAGUGAUUCUCUACCUCACAUUGUUCUCCCUGAGUACUUGGCAGGGCGGGGAGGGAGAGCAAAGAGAGAAGAGAGAGCGUGCUCCACGGCUCAUUAGAUAUUAAAGUCCAUGGAGAAUCUUGUUCAUCUGAGCAUUCAGCAUGUUCUAGAAGAGAAAAGAAUUUCAUGGGAGGUCAGCCCAAAGAGAAUGAAAAGUGAGUAGGUCUUGGCUAUGAGCACAGUGGCAGUUCAGCAGGUGUGUAUUUUAAAGCGUCGGGAAGUUUUUCAAAGCCAUUUACUCUUCUCACCUAUUUGAAGGUGUCAUAUCUUGUUACUCAGGUGUCAUCUCUUUAUCUAACCCCAGACAACAAGGAGUCCUGUGUUCACAGUCACCACGGGAUGGAUCUGCUUCUAUCAUCUCUUCCUUUUCCCAUCAUGGCAAACUUUAUUCCUCCCUGCUCCUCCCUCCCCACAGGCAAUAGGGCCUACAGAAUGUCCCAUUAUCCCUUUAUCUUUUUAAAUUUUCCAGACUGACACAGCAGAAGGAAUAGAAGUUGCUAGGAGAAGUCAAUAAGCCACGUUAAUUCAGUGUCAGUAGUUGCUUCUAGGAUAGUCUAUGUUUAAAUCCAUGAACACAUAAAUGGCUUAACCUGGGCUUUGAAGCAUAUACCUCAUUAAGGACAUACAGAGAAAACG
rnacentral:lncRNA from 13 species